rnacentral:rRNA from 1 species
UACGGAGGGAGCUAGCGUUAUUCGGAAUUACUGGGCGUAAAGCGCACGUAGGCGGCUUUGUAAGUUAGGAGGUGAAAGCCCGGGGCUCAACCCCGGAGGGUCUCUCGAAACUGUCGAGCUAGAGUGCGGAAGAGGCAAUCGGAAUUCCCAGUGUAGCGGUGAAAUGCGUAGAUAUUGGGAAGAACACCGGAGGCGAAGGCGGGUUGCUGGGCAGUUGCUGACACUGAGGCGCGACAGCGUGGGGAGCAAACAGG